UACGUAGGGUGCAAGCGUUAAUCGGAAUUACUGGGCGUAAAGCGCACGUAGGCGGCUUUGUAAGUUAGAGGUGAAAGCCCGGGGCUCAACUCCGGAAUUGCCUUUAAGACUGCAUCGCUAGAAUUGUGGAGAGGUAAGUGGAAUUCCGAGUGUAGAGGUGAAAUUCGUAGAUAUUCGGAAGAACACCAGUGGCGAAGGCGACUUACUGGACACGUAUUGACGCUGAGGUGCGAAAGCGUGGGGAGCAAACAGG
rnacentral:rRNA from 1 species